UUCAUCUCUGUUUUAAAUCUGCCCUUAUUUUUCAGUGUCUAUCUAUCACGAGUGUUUCUAAUGGUGAGAAGCCAAGAAACUCUUAGGAUAUUCUUGAGAUAAGGCACACAUUUUAAUGCAUGUUUAAUAACACCCUAUUUUCAUGAGACUGGGUCGAUUUUGUAUGUGGCGUGUUAUCUACAGAAGCCUUCCACCAUGUCCUCCAUGCACAUCUUCCUCACAGUCUGUGUUGUGAGUCUAGAUGGAUGUGAGCACAGAUCUAAAGUUUCCUGCCUCCAUCUGUUCAGUGAGUAUUAUAAUUUGAUACACAGAAAUAAGGUUUAAAAAUUUUAACUAGUGGGUCUUUCUAGACUUUAAAUGUUUGAUCUUUAAAUUUAGCUUUUAUUCCAACAAACUGCUCUUUCGUGAUCAUAACAUAUUUUGGUACCAUUGCAUAUUAGUAUAACAUAUUGCUCCCCUCUAAAUUUUUCCCAAUCAUUUCAUUGGUUAAUAUAAUGUAAUAUUUCUUAUACUGUAUCUGGAGAAUUAUCCUUGGGUAUCCGUGACUUACUGAUUCAGUAUAAACAGAUAUAUCACCUUAUAUUUUGACUGUAACAGUUGGCUUUGAGAACUCAAAUAACCUUGGGGUCUAUGUUAUGACUUACAAUGAAUCUUUGAAGUUAAGAUAUAUUUUACAGCCUCUCCUAGUCAAUACAUGGAUAUGAUGAUAAGGUCUACCCACAAUAUCUUGGAAACAAAACAACUGAAAUAUAUUUAACCCUAAUCCAGGUCCUCUUUCACUGAUAUCAGGAUAGGAUAGACUGUAUUCUACAAGCUAAAAUUUAAAGUUAAAUUUUUAGAUUGUAAAAAUUUAAACAAUAUUAAUACAAAAGGAGUGGUUAAUAUUAUUUCCAGAAAAAAGGGGACAUCCUGAAACCAAAUUUAAUGUGUCCACAAUAUUGUAAAAUGAGAAGUCAAUGAUGACUAACAGAUCCUCUCCAUCCUGGUUGGCUUAUGGUACAUAUUUAAUUUAUUAAUAUUCACCAGCAGGUUCCAACAAUCAUUCCUUGCUUUAAUCACCUACUGCAUUAGUCUGCUUGGCAUCAAAUUUGCAACAAAGAUGAAAGAUAUAUAUGUAAUUUCUCAGCUUACAUUUUGCAAUAACAAAAUACCAUAGACUGGGUAGCUUAAACCAUAAAAAUUUGUCACAGUUCUGGAGGCUGAAAGACCAAGAUCAAGGUGCUGGCAAGAUAGGUUUUAUUCUGAGGCCUGUUAUCUUGGCUUGUAGGUGACUGCCAUCUCACUGUGUCCUCACAUAAUCUCUUUGGGAGUGUGGCAUGGAGAGUGAGAACAAGCUUUCUGGUAACUCUUCUCAUAAGGGCACUAAUCCCAUCAUGAGGGCCCCACCACCCUUAGGACCUCAUGUAGCUUUUUUUUUUUUUUAAUUUGAUUUAAGUUCUGAGAUACGUGUGCAGAAAUUAUAGGUUUAUUACAUGGUAAAAGUAUGUCAUGGUGGUUUGCUGCACCUAUCAACCCAUCACCUAGGUAUUAAGCCCCACAUGCAUUAGCUCUUUACCCUGAUGUUCUCCCUCCCCUUGCUCAGACCUCAUGUAAUUGUAAUGAUCUCUCAAAAUCUCCAUCUGCAAGUCCCAUGGCAUUGGAUAUUAUUGCCUCAACAUAUACAUUUUGGAAGGACACAAAUAGCCAGUUCAUUAUACCUGCUCAGUCACCUUCUGAUUAUUAUUUAGGUUGAACCCUUGUCCAGAUGAGAAGGAAUCACAAAUACAGGCUUUGAUUUGAGACUGUAAUGUAUUAGGAGUUCAGAACAGUGGAGGACAAGGCAGGAAAAGCCCACAGCCUCAAUAUACAGAAGUAGGACAGGACAUUAUGGAGAAUUCAAAAUAACAAGCCAAGCAGGCCACCCAGUUGAGUCAUCAAUCUGAGUUGGAUGGUCUGAGAAAGUAAGCCCAGGCAGGAGAGAGGUUAUAGGGGCAGAACUGUGAAGAGUAAAAGUAUCCAGAAGAAGGAUGGUACCAGGAACCAGGAAAAAUUCUCCAAAGCCUUAUGAACAAAGCCACGGUCAUUUUUAUGGCAAUGCAGAAGAUGCUAUGAGAGGGCCCAUCUGACUUAGCCAUAUAUUUGGCUUGCAACUUUGACUUUGCUACAUGAAAAGAAUGUUUUAGUUAAAAUUUGAUCUAUGUGUCAAUUCUAUAUUUUAAAUAAACAUAUUAAAUAAAUUGACCUUGCAUUUUUUACAUGUAGUAUCUUUCUUACUUGGAUAAUGUAAGUUCAGCUCCCUGAAUACGAACAAUUCUAGGUAUACCCUUAGAAGUAGGGUUUUAAAUAACAAAGCCAAGGGACAGAGUGUUAGUAGAGAUCACACUGCAGGAGGUUCUCCCUGUUGCGACUACUCUUCCAAGAUGUCAUUUUCCAUCAGCCAGGGGUAAAAUUACAAAAAAAAAAAAAAAAAAAUCCUCCAAAUCACAAUGACUUUAAGCAAAACAAAGAUGCAUUUCUUUCUUUCAAUCACAGUCUAAUUUUGUAUCAUUGGGAAAGAUGACUCUGCUUCACUCUGUUACUCAGGGAUCUAGGUUCACUUCCUCUAAUGGCUAUCUUCUAGAAACUUGGGUUAUUUGCUGGAUUUUCGGCAUCGGAUAAAAGAAGAGGAGGGUUAUGCAGAAAGUAUAUGAAUGUCAGGUCUUGACAUGGAAUACAUUAUUUCCACUCAUAUUCCAUUGGCUAGAACUCAGUUGCAUGGUCCCUGCAAGGGUGGUUGGGAAAUGCAGUCUAGUGUGUCUAGGAGGCAAAGGCACCAGAUAAUGGUAAACACAUAUCUUAUGAUUGCUAUAUCUCUUUAUCUGCUUAUCUCUCUACAGCCUCUUCUCCACCAGUAGGAAAGUUGUAAAAAAGAAGAUCUACAACAAAAGAUACUCCAAAUUAUGCUUAUGUUUUAAUAAAUAUAAUUUCUAAAAAAAUUGAUGAACAAAAAUCUGGACAGUGGUCACAAAGUCAGUUUCAAAUGGUUUUGAGCAUAUCUGUGAACACACCAUAUGUUCCAAAAACAAUUAGUCAUUGUUCAAUAUGAAUAGACAGAAUUGUAGCCAAUAAAUUUAAAAUAAAUUCUUGAAUAUACUUAGCAUUAGAAGAUUUGAUAUUAUUUGAAAGCUCUGGUUACAGUUCUUUAUGGCUGUUUAUUUGUCACGAGAAGCAUUAAGUUUUCGCCUAAAUCCAUAUUUCAAUAGAGUAUUUAUGCACUUGGUUCAAGAAAGAACUUGCCAGUGGCCUUCUGAGAGACAGCCUUGGCACUAGCAACUUUGAAUAAUACAUCAGGGAAAAAGCUUUCAAACAAAUUCUUUAGGUUAAAAGUAAGCUGUAGCCAUAACUAAUAUGCGAUGACUUUUACUUUAUAUCAGAGGGAAGAAAUAGCCUCUUAUUUAGUUAAUUCUAGAACUACACUCUCUAGGACAAUGACAAUUAGCCACAUGUAAGUAUUUAAUUAAAAUUAUAUAAAAUUAAAAAUGUAGGUAGUUACUCUGGCCACAUGUCAAGUGCUCAGUAGCCUUAAGUAGCUCGUGGCUAUCAUAUUGAAGACAGAAGACAUAGGGCAUUUCCAUCAACGUUGCUCCUGGGUAGCAGUGAUCUAGAAGUUUGCUGACCCAUAGCCAUGCGAGAGGGAGAAACAGAGACAAAGAACUCUGGAUCAGGAUGUCUGUUACUUAUUCCUUUUUUUCUUUGUGCACAAAUAUGAAUGUGUUCGGUACAUUUUAAAAAAUCAAGCUUAAACAACUGGGUGUUUGCUUUGAUGCCUAAGGAAGGGCAGCUAGCUCAUUGGGGACUUUUAUUUAUUGCUUUUGUGCUAGCAAACAGACUACUAAAACAAUUGAAAAGAAAGCCAUUCUGUUUGGUGUGAAUGGGCAUAAUAAAUUAAAUACAAUGCAAUUUAACCUAUGAUACUUAAGUAACAAAAUAUAUCUGUAUACAUUUUAAAAUAUGAAAGCCAAAUAGGCUACUAAAGUUUCUUUCUCUCUCUCUCCUCUCCUUUCCAUACACUCUCCCACAUCCUUCUAUUUUUUUCUGGUUCCUGGAACAUUCUGUUUUUUUUACAAGCUAACAAGUUUGAUGUGGCUCUGUGUCUUAUUCCCUUCCAGGCUUGCAGCUGUUUUGGCAACAGAAGAAAAAAUCCCCAUAACAAAUCAAAUAAAAGCCCUUUAUGUGAAGAGGAAUUGAAAACAGCAGGCCUCAAAGAGGACUGCACAUGAGAUGCCUUGUUCUGGCUUUCAACACAACUCAAAUCAGAAACACAUUACCAUAAUCUGAAACAGCCCACUGCUAACACAAGACAGAUGGUGGGUAAUAACCCAUGCAUCAUUAAUAAAUAAAUUCCAGCAUUAAAGGCUUUACAAAGUAUGACAACAUUAUCUGGGCACAAUUACUGCCCCUCUCCCACCCCCAACAUCAUUUCAGUGUGUUAUGGGAUAUGCUAGGUUUAUUUUUUUUUUUUUUUCCCCUCCAACUCCAUGGAUCUGAAGGAAGUUUAAAUACGACACAAGUUUUAACCAGAUGAAACCUAUCUCAGUGUACAAGACAGGUCUGAAACUCCAUAAGGGAAAAAUAAAAUAGCUGCCAAAGUUUAAUAGCUCACAUGUUCUGGUGUUGGAUCAGCCCACAGCAAUUUAUUGCACUGCCCUCCAUGCGCUGGCCUCACCCUUUCUGGUACGCCUCUGUGCCUGUAUUGCAGUAUACACUCCAAGCAAGAAUCUUGGCAUCACAUUUGCCACAAAGCUGAAAGAUAUAUGAGUAACUUCUCAGCUUUCCUUUUGCAAACGAUACCAUCUGUCUCUUUUCCCCCAGCUCCCCCCACCAAGGGGGGAAGAAAAAACAGCCUCUGAUUAAAUUGAAAAAAGGAGAGAGAGAGAGCAUUUUAACUCCAUAAAUGUUGGAAAUUUAAAAAAAUUAUUUUGUUUUGUUUUAAUUUGUUUGUUCAAUGGGAUAAUGUUAUUCCAACAGAAUGUGAGGAGUAUAAGAAUGCAGCAAUGUGACACAGAACUGUGCAGACCUCUUUGGGUGAUGUUGUCUGGAAUUCCCCAGGGUAGCAGCGUUCCUGCAAAGCCUAAGUGCCUACUUCCUAUGCGUGCCAUCCUAAGCCAAAAGUCAAGCAUGGUCCUGGCCAUCAGUUCUGGAAAAAUACAGGCCUUAGGAGAGCAAAUAUUAUAUUAGAUUCAUCCUAUAUAAAUUACAUAUUCCUCCUCAAAAGUGGGUAAUAUAAGCAUUUUUGUCAAACAGACCAGCAUCAUGUUUUUAAUGAAAGAGAUAAACUAUUUUACAUUAACUCACUUGACAGGUGAAGAGCUAGGAACAGAGAAAAUAAUACAUGCUAACCAGGCUAAUCCAAGAUUACUAGAAGGCCAAGGGAAAGUAUCUCCGUGGCAUCAUCCAUUGACCCAAGUGGUCAGUCAUGUGGAUGUGAUUUAUAGUCCCACCCAGUACAGAACACCACACUCAGGCUAAAUGAAAUGACAACUCAGAGACAGACGCCAAGGCCCCUGGCAGCGCAGACUCGGAUGGAGUCUAUGAGUUCCAGAGGCCAGCAACCACAGUAAAUUGGAAGAUCCUGGGUAUUUCUGGUGCUCAGAGCAAGAAUGGUUCAUAUUUGGCACAAAAGCUGGAAUCCCACAGUGAGGAGAGAUGGAAAACAAGAAUACUGCUCUUGUACAAAUAAGUGGACUGGAGCAACGAUCCGUGAAAUGGUGUCCUGGAAACUCCAUCCCAGGCGCCCUCACUGUAAUUGUUUUUAAAAUGGUGGUGAAGCAAAGAGCAUUUUGGAAAUCUUUUCCUAACCCCUCACAGGAAAAUGUGAAGGCAGCAGUCACCACCUGCAAACAAACAGAUCAUUGGUGACUGACUGCAGCAUCAAACUGUACCUGAGCUUCCCAGAGAAAUGGGCUCUUUGUUUCAGGUAAUUGGCAGAAUUAGAAAAAUGGCCUUCAUUACAAUCUCUCUAUAUAAAUUUUUGAUUUAUAGGUUUGUGAUAAAUUAAUAGCUUUGAAGUUUUACAAGGGUUGCCAUGUAUCUCAUAUCAAACCAAACAGCCCAGGACCAAGACUUUGAUCAAGUAUUGAAUUUGCUUUUAUCAAUGGGUGUCCAGGGUUGCUUGGGGUCCCAAGAAUCUCUGGCAUUUAAAGAUGCCUGCUGCCCCUGCUGGAAUAUUUGGAAAUGCUAUUAAGAAUUGGUGCCCUGAAGGCAAGUAGAUUACCCAGAUUUCCUCUUUCAAAGAGAUACUGUGAGACUUGGAAAACAGUAUUUAUUUUUUACUUCAAUUUAAUAUGAAUAAUUGAGUCCUAGUAUAUAAAUAAUAGAGUCCUCAGCUAGAAAAAAACCUUAGUUGCUAUUCAGGUUGUGGCAGUCUCCAAUCGUAUAGGAAUGCUCUUUGCAAACUUCUGUAACUAACACUUCCAGUGAUGAAAAGCUAAUACUCUUUGUAAUGCAGACUGUUUCAUUGUGUGUACAAUUCUGAAUCCCAGAUCCUUUUCUCUCCACUCUUCUAAUAUAGAGCUCAAAUCUAUUGUGUCCAAAUUCCCAUCCGUCUUUUUUCUAAGUCAACAUUUUAGAGACUUAAAGAACAUAAACAUCAUCUUCCACAUGACAACCCUUAAAAUACGUGACUCAAACCAUUCCUGAAAAGUCCUUUUUUGUCCAAGCUAAAUGUCCACAUUUUUCUCAGCUAUUGCUGUUUUAAGUGUGAUUUUCAUAUCACUCACUGGUCAUUUGAGUUUACAUAAUCUUCAGAAUUUCAGAAUAUCUUUUAAAAUAUAGAAUUAAUAACUAAACAUAAUACCACAGAUUAUGCUAUGACUGAAAAUGCUGUGAAGGUAUUUUAUUGGAUUUAUCUAUUUUUAUAAUAAUGCAGCUUCAGAUUUCAUAUAAUCACAGCAAUGAUGGAUCUUCCCUCUUCUGAUCUUUAUUUAUCAUCUGAUUUUUGUUUUCCUUAGGUACAUUUUCCCUUUUUCACUACAAAAUAAUUUUUAAAAUACAGAAAAAUAUAUAUAUAUAUUUUUUGAGACGGAGUCUCGCUGUAUCGCCCAGGCUGGAGUGUAGUGACGCGAUCUCGGCUCACUGCAAGCUCCGCCUCCCGGGUUCAUGCCAUUCUCCCGCCUCAGCCUCCUGAGUAGCUGGGACUACAGGCGCUUGCCACCAUGCCCAGCUGAUUUUUCGUAUUUUUAGUAGAGAUGGCGUUUCACCAUAUUAGCCAGGAUGGUCUCGAUCUCCUGACCUCAUGAUCCACCCACCUCUGCCUCCCAAAGUGCUGGGAUUACAGGAAGUCUUAAUAUCUAAGAGGGAGGAACCCAGCCUGUAUUAUUCACCUUGAAAAUUUUCAUCUUACAAAUUACUUGACCUUCCCCUUGUUCUUAUACAUAAAUUUCUGGAUCAGUUUGUUAAAUUUCAUCAAAAACAAAAGCAAAACCCUUCAGGGCUCUUGUUUGUAACUGCACUGAAUUAAUUGAUUUUAAUGGGGAGAAUUAAAAUAUUGGUUCCUAACUUUUAAAUGCCAGACAACAUGUUUUCUCCUGAGCAUUUUAUUUCUCACCCUGACCAUGAGACCCAAUAAAUAAGGUCAAGUCACAUCAUACCCUAGCAGUCAAAAGCAGAGUUAUCAUACUGGGAGUGGUAAGAGGUAGGACUGUGGUUACACAAUGAAGGCAAGGUAGAAAACAGUUGACAACCGCAGUGUCUCUUAUUACUCUCUCACUCAAUCAUGACAAUACAUGGACAAUAACAGCCACAGCAGUGUGAGAAGAACAUGGUAACCAGAGGCUCAGAACCCUCACAGAUAAAAGUGUGUUAACCUGACUUGAUAAACCAGUAAUACCAGUUCAGUUACUAACUGAGGAUGUGGGCAAUUUCAAAUGGGUACUAGAGGAGGAAGAUGAUGAGCACCUAUGAUAAUCUGAGACCAACUAUUGUAGUAGGGACUGCCAUUUGUUUUACUACCUUUUCUCUUUUAUAAUUUCUAGAAAAAGAGACUAACAAGAAUCAUGGAGAAGCUUUUUCCAAUUGGAGUGAACUUAUUAUAUGGAACAAAUAGAUCUGAGCAGUGCUGGGGUGAACUGUAGUGGAUGCUGUGUUUUGUGACACAGAUGUCCUUUGUGACUAAGGCACUCAUUUCCCCAGGUUCGAGACUGUUGGUUGCUGAUUGCUCCCAGCUGAGUCAGUCUCCAAGCAAUUUUUUCAGCCAAGGAAAUCAUCCUAUCCCAAAAGUUAAACUCCAUUCCCUGAUGAAAGCUGUCAUAUAAUAAUUAGUUGUUGGGGACAGGGAGAGUUAAAAAAAGCCCCACAUUGUUGCCACAAUUGAGAAAUCUCUGAAUAGCCAUCCCAACCACUGUUGCCGCUGAGAGUUGUGAGACCUCUGUUAGAACUGCAUGAUUACAGUUCAGUUUCUCCUGUGUUUAAUCCUGCUUUCUUCACUCUUCAUUGGUGUUGCUCAUCAGAGAACUCCCCAAAAAACUAGCUGCAUGAAAACUCAGAGCCUCAGACUUUUGUUCCUUUGGGAUAUCUGACUUCCAAAAAUUACUAAAAUUUCCAUUAAUUAUACCUGCACAUAAUUUCAGUAACCAAGGAUUAUAAUUCAAGUUGACUGUGGGUAUUUGAAAACAUAAAUCAUAUAUUAUCUUGCCAUCUCACUGGAGAUAUUAAGAUUGAAUUCCAUACUAAAUAUAUUUUAGAAAUAUUUUCUCAUUCUAAUUCUGUUUCUAUGAAUAAAAGAUUUUCUCUUUUCCCCUGACAUUCUGGAAUUUAUCAGUGAUACCCAUUUAAUUUUUUUCAAUUAAUUUUACUGAGUAGUCAGUUGCUUUAAAAAUGAAAACAUAUAUUUUUCCAUUUGAAAAAAAAUGUACCUAUGUCUUUGAUAACCGCCUUUUCCCUGUUUCCUUUGUUCUCAUUUACUAGGACUCCAGUUAAGUGAAUGUUGGACCUUCUAGAUGAAUAAUUUAACUUCUUAACGUUUCUAAAUUUUAUCUCUUUGUUAUUUCGUCUACUUAUUGAGAGACUUCGUCAACUUUUAACUUCCAAAUUUUUGAAUUGGAAGAUUUUUAAUUUCUAUGAUUUUCUUAUUUUACUCUGAUGAUUCUUCUGUUGAUGGUGC
rnacentral:lncRNA from 1 species